rnacentral:lncRNA from 1 species
GGACGCAGGCAGGAGGCACAGAACCCAGCCAGCCCCAGACACCCGGACACACAGAUCCUCACCGGGCAGAUGGCAGACGCUCGAGAGACCCCUGGGGGCCGGGCGGACCCACCCAGGCAACACCCCCCAGCAGGCACCAGUGGCCGAGGGAGGCUGCGGGAGGCUGCGGGCGAGGGUGGCGGCGGCGGCCGCGGCUUGGAGGAGCUGGAGCGGGAGGGACUCACACACUCGCUGUGUUCUCGCACACACACACUCACUCGGGAUGCGAUUAACAUUCAGUCCCCGUCUGCCACUGCCGGGAGACCCACAGCCCCCCCUCCUGGCCUCCCUGGGGACCCCUUCUCCUGCCAGGCUUGGGGAGGGGGCCGCCCCCCACCCCUAGCUACCAGCCUCUGCCUUCCUCCUGGGACAAGGGAGUGAGGGGCUGAAAAUAAAAAGGGAGGAAGAAGUCAGGCUGGGGACAGGCAGGCAGGGACUCAGAACCCGGUAUGGAGACACCAGCUUCAGAGCUAGACUCCAGGGCUGGGGGUUGCUGCCCUCUGCCCCCGCCCUGCCUUGAGGCUCUGGAAACAGGAGGCCUUUCCCUGACUUCAGUGUUCGCCAUACUAAGACCCAAGCUGUGGCUUUUAUUGCCCCAGAAGGCCAGGCCUGAAAACCAGGUCUCGACCCUGGUCCCAGGAGUCCCGCCCCCCAGCCCCUCCUCCCUCAGACCCAGGAGUCCCCUUCUCUACUGGGACCCAGGAAUUUGGGGACCGCCUCCAAGUCAGAGUCUCUUUUAAGGACUCAGUCAUCCCGACUCUCCCCCCUACAAGCCACCCUCAGGGACCCAAGACUCGUGGAUGUCACCCUUGGGCACCCCGUCCUUCCAGCCCUCUGAAGAAACCAACAUGCCUGCACCCCUUCUUUUAUUGAGGGACCCUGGCCUCCAUCACCUAGACACAGAUUGCCUGGGCGAAC